rnacentral:lncRNA from 1 species
CUCCCCGCGGCCUCUUGAGGAUGAGGUGCAGUCUCUUCCCAGGCUCCACGAGUUUUCGUGAUUAUGGUGGAAGGAAGAAAGAGAGGAAAGGGAAGACAGCAGCGUGAUGGGAUAUUAUGCUAUCUCUGCCUUCACCACCAGCAGGGAGGACACACAGCUGAAGACCCAGCAGGGUGGGAGAUUUCACACGGACUUCUCCAGCUGGACUGUGAGGAGAAACCACACCCUGGAUGUCUGCUGAAGGAAGAAUGAAAAGGUAGUUUAUUUCCCUGGUUCCCUGAUGUCUCUAUUUUUCAUGAGUCAAAUUCUCCCUUUUGGGGAGCUUUCUUUCGAUUUGUGUUGAUCUGAGUCCAGGCUUUUUAGGAUGCUAAAUUCCAUACUUGGUGGGCUGGUGUUUCACCCAGGACUAAAAGUGGCAUUCUCUCCCAACAAGGAGAAAUGAGGGUACUCGAGGGCAUCUAAGAUGAUGCAUAAUUUUAUAUUUUCAAACUCAUGUACUGGUUUUGCCACUCAGAUGUACUCAAACCUUCCCAGUGUAUUCAGCUCCCAACCACAAUGUUUCUUUCUUGGGAACAAAGUGGUUCUCAAUCUUUGCCUGUCAGAAGUAGUUCAGGUCUAACUAGCCCCAGAUUCUUCAAGGCAGCUCAUCAUGAUUUCCAAGUAGAAGAAAGCAAGAGUUAAAUCAAGUAACAUUCCCCAGCUCUGGCUGCUUUCAAGGCAGUCAAACAGUUCCUUGAUGCUGCCACCAGGUGGAGCCAUUGAACCAAGUCGGAUUCCUCAUGCCCAGAGUACGGAUGGUGGAUACAUAGUGAGUACAAGUUACAACUGCCAUAAGAAAACUUUGAACAGUGUUUCCAAAUAAAAGGUAUACUAAUUAACAAAGUGUUCUUAAGAAAGUACCUACUUAGAAAAUCUUUAGAUUUUUGUGUUGGGGUGAUUUGGAAACAAAAUAUAUUUUAUUGAGAACAAAUUAUUUCUUUUCAUAUCAUUUCAACAACACUUCUUAGAAGAUUAUGUGCCCUUCCCUGUGCUGGACUCUGAAGCUACAAGGACAAGUAAGAUGCAAAGGCAGUCAUAAACCAGUAGAGAAGAAAACACACACAAAUAUAAAUAUUUUGUCUUUUUAGGGCCUCACCCGCAGCACAUGGAGGUUCCCAUGCUAUGGGUUGAAUUGGAGCUAUAGCUACUGCCACUUAAUUGACAAGACUAGUGCUGUCUAAUGGAACUUUCUGAGAUGGUGAAGAUAUUCUGCAUCUGCACCAUGUGAGACUGUGGCCACUAGCCAUAUGUGGCCAGUGAGUGCUUGAAAUGUGGAUAGUGUGACAGAGGAACUAGAUUUUAAAUUCUAUUUAGGUCAGAUUUAAAUAGUUGCGUGUGGCUAGUGGCUACUAUACUGGGCAGCCAGAUCUGGUUAGGAGCUAUUACCUUGUGGAAGAGAGAGAUUAUGUUAGAAAAAUCAGCAGAGACUUUCGUGCCUCUGUGUGUGUGUGGGGGGGACCAGGGUACUGAGGAAUGGUAACUGGAAGAAAGGUACAGGCUAGAUAUCACAUAGGAGGGUGAGGUCCCUGGCAGGGAGGGGGGCUGUGGUGUUUGGUGGCAGGGGAGUGGGGGCUGUCACUGUGAUUGGAGGUGAGACUUCUGACCCAGCAUCUGGAGCCUUGUCGGUGCCUAAUUAUGUCCACUCCCCAUUCAAGUUUGCUCACACUUUGUGAGCCCACUGACAGCCAGCUUGUCCCCCUUGACUGUCCAACUGCAGAGCCAUUGUUCUGUGCCCUCAUAUUUUGCUUAGCAACAAUCUGACCCACCCCCAUGUGGACAAUAUAAUAAACAACAUAUGACAUGGAUGACAAAAGCCAACCUUACUACUUAAAAUAUGAAUGCAAAUUUAAACAUUUAAAUUAAAACUUAAAAACAUUAGACUUGGAGUUCCCAUCGUGGCACAGCAGAAAUGAAUCCAACUAGGAGCCACGAGGUUGCGGGUUCGAUCCCCAGACUCCCUCUGGGUUAAGGAUCUGGCAUUGCCCUGAGCUGUGGUGUAGGUCACAGACAUGGCUCGGAUAUCGGAUGUGGUGUAGGCUGGCACCUGUAGCUCCGAUUAGACCCUUAACUUGGGAACCUCCAUAUGCCAUGGGUGCUGCUCUGAAAUGACGACAGACCAAAAAAGAAAAACCCCAAAAAACAUUAGACUUGAGUUUGUUUUUAUUUAUUACCCUUAGGACAAUCCCUUGUGUUAAGUGGGCUUUGGUUUUCCCCUCUGUGAUCUGUUUCUAGUUUCCCUGGGUAGAUUUCUUUGCUUUAUAAAAUUCUAAAAUGAACACAAGUUGAAACAUACCAGGUCCCCUUUCCUGCAGGCCCUUUGCUACGGAGCUGGUCGGGUGACUAAUGCUUCUGCUUC